CAAAAUGACCUUGGUUUUUAGGUUUAUCCAAUUUAGUCCAGCAACUACAGCAUCGAUUGUUCUCUGCGUUCCUUGAGCAGCGUUUGUCGCCGGCCUUCGUUCAGUCACCGCCGGUGAACUGACGUUAUCGUCCUUCCGCCACAGUCGCCGUGAUCCCUAUCUGAAAUUUCUCUGGAAGAACUGAUCAUCUGAUUUAUUUGCUAAAUCAAGCAUCUGGAACAAUAGCAAAGAUCCAAAGCAACUUCUGGGUUUUGUUUCUGUUAUAUCAGCUUCAUCUUAAGAAAUUCCAAUGGCGGAAAAUAUCUCUUCACAUGAUCAAAGAUCAGACAUAAUAAGUUCCGUGGAGAUCCCUUUGCCGGUUGAUAAGUUAGCGUUGGAAUUGGUUGGCCAUGGCUCCUCCUCUGGCUCCUCGAUCAAGCCUAAAACGCUCGCGGUUCUUGUAGCUACUGGAAGCUUCAAUCCUCCCACUUAUAUGCAUUUACGCAUGUUUGAAAUGGCGAAGGAUGCACUGGAAUCAGAGGGCCUUUGUGUUAUUGGAGGCUAUAUGUCUCCAGUUAACGAUGCAUACAAGAAAAAGGGCCUCAUUUCUUCGGAACAUCGAAUAAAGCUCUGCGAACUAGCAUGCCGAAGUUCAGAAUACAUCAUGGUCGAUCCAUGGGAGGCCAGUCAAAAUAGCUACCAACGCACAUUAACUGUUCUGUCUCGAAUCAAGACUUCACUGUGUGCCAUUGGAUUGUUUCCCAAAGAAUCCCUGAAGGUGAUGCUUGCUUGUGGUUCUGAUUUGAUUGAAUCUUUUGCAACACCUGGAGUUUGGAUACCUGAUCAAGUUAAAACCAUAUGCCGAGAUUACGGUCUCAUUUGCGUUAGUCGAGAAGAACAAGAUAUCGAGAAAAUCAUAUCGGAUAAUGAAAUUCUGUACGAGAACAGGAGCAAUAUCAAAAUUGUAGAUCAAAUUAUACCCAACAUAAUAAGCUCCACCAGAUUAAGGGAUUGCAUUUCAAAAGGACUGUCAAUCAAAUAUCUUACUCCUGAUGAAGUUAUCGAGUAUAUAAGAGGGCAACAUUUGUACUUGAAUCCUUGAUGAUGCUUUAUGUUCGGUCAGAUGAAUAGAGGAUCAAUCGACCUGGAUUUUUAUGAGCGUUGGUGGGUCUUGGAGUGUCUGUCAAUUGCUCUGGUGCGUACUCGGGUCUACUUCAUAUUAGUUUUAAGAACAAUCAUACUUUAAAUCGGGGCCAUAAGUUAAAAACGGGUAUUCAAAUGAUAGACUUUUUGAUCAAUACAUGCUUACAUUAGUUGAACUAUGAAAACAUUUAUGAAC